GAUGAACGCUGGCGGCGUGCCUAAUACAUGCAAGUCGAGCGAACAGACGAGGAGCUUGCUCCUCUGACGUUAGCGGCGGACGGGUGAGUAACACGUGGAUAACCUACCUAUAAGACUGGGAUAACUUCGGGAAACCGGAGCUAAUACCGGAUAAUAUAUUGAACCGCAUGGUUCAAUAGUGAAAGACGGUUUUGCUGUCACUUAUAGAUGGAUCCGCGCCGCAUUAGCUAGUUGGUAAGGUAACGGCUUACCAAGGCAACGAUGCGUAGCCGACCUGAGAGGGUGAUCGGCCACCCUGGAACUGAGAUACGGUCCAGACUCCUACGGGAGGCAGCAGUAGGGAAUCUUCCGCAAUGGGCGAAAGCCUGACGGAGCAACGCCGCGUGAGUGAUGAAGGUCUUCGGAUCGUAAAACUCUGUUAUUAGGGAAGAACAAAUGUGUAAGUAACUAUGCACGUCUUGACGGUACCUAAUCAGAAAGCCACGGCUAACUACGUG
rnacentral:rRNA from 1 species